rnacentral:piRNA from 1 species
UAAAUCUUUCCAUAAGCGCAA